CAAUACUUGCUUCAGUACUUUUAAUUUGUUUUUGUCUCUCUUCAUAGUUUGAUGCUGCAAAAUUAAGAAAGCUAAGACCAAGUUUCAAGCAGAAAGAGGGCUCUGUUACUGCUAGCAAUGCUUCAAUCAUAAGUGAUGGUGCAGCUGCAUUAGUCCUAGUGAGUGGAGAGAAGGCACUUCAACUUGGAUUGCAAGUAAUUGCAAAGAUUAAGGGCAAUGCUGAUGCAGCUCAGGUACUCCAAUGAAUUGGCUUCCUAGUUCUAUUUUACUGUUGCUGAAACAUAGCUCAAAGAAGAUUAUCUUUGCAGGCACCUGAAUUCUUUACAACUUCUCCAGCCCUUGUGAUACCAAAAGCUAUUUCAAAUGCUGGUUUAGAUGCUUCUCAGAUUGAUUACUAUGAAAUAAAUGAAGCAUUUUCUGUAAGAUUUUAGUACUUGUAAUCCCUAUACUGUUCUUGAUUUAGUAAGCAUUUUUUUUU